rnacentral:lncRNA from 1 species
AUAACUCUGGCGGCGCGCCUCAUACUAGAGCUUGUGCAAGCAAGUGGACCAGAAAUAGCUCAGGGUAGAAGACUCCCAGCGGCGCCAUAGGAAGAAUGAGGCACAAGUCAAUUUUGUAGAGCCUGAAACGGACAUUCCCCGGCUGGAAAAAGCUGGAGUAAAAAGAUGCUGAUCAGCUGGGCUGAAGAAUCAGCUGUGAUUCACUGAAGUCAAAUCUCCUGGGAAGUGUUUCCUCAGAAGCCGUGCUCCAGAGGUGGCCAAGGUUGAACCUCAUGCCGGCAGCCGAACUUGGUUGUGUAAGAGUGACCCAGCUGAUAACUGCUUUAAAGGUAUAAAGGGAUCAUGGACAGCAGCUGAGGCUUGACUCUGUGGCAGGCCUGGAGUCCCUGAAAAGAGCCCAGGAGAGGUUAAAGGUGAAAGUGCAGCCCAGUUCCUGUAGAAGAGUCCAGCAUUUUGGAGAUGCCAGUACCAGGGAACAACCACCAAGAACAGCAGCAGGUGUGGAGUGGAGCCAGCCUGAGCCUAUAAGACAUGUUCUGUGUGCUACAGAGGACAGAGCCAGAGAAGUGAUCAGGCCAUUUGGAGGAGCUCAGAAGAUCAUGAGAGACUUCCAUACAUUGGAGGCUGAGUCAUUUACUGUUGGAACUUGGUUUUGCUUUGUUCAGGCUAUGACUGUGGGCUGGUUCUUCUCUCUUGAGGUAAUAAAGUAACUUAUAUUUUAUUUUACAGGAGAAAAUUUGAAUAUUUUAAAGAAACUUUGGACUUUUACUAUUUGAAUUUUAUUUAUUUAUUUCAUGUAUGUGAGUACACUGUCGCUAUCUUCAGACACAGCAGAAGAGGACAUCGGAUCCUCAUUACAGAUGGUUGUGAGCCACCAUGUGGUUGCUGGGAAUUGAACUCAGAACCUCUGGAAGAGCAGUCAGUGCUGUUAACCACUGAGCCAUCUCUCCAGCCCCACUAUUUGAAUUUUUUAAAGAUUUAUUUAUUUUUGUGUGCACUAGUGUUUUUCCUGCAUGUAUGUCUGUGUGGUGGGGCCAGAUCCCCUUGAACUGAGUUUCAGACAGUAGUGAGCUGCCGUGUCAGUGCUGGGAAUUGAACCCAGGUCCUCUGGAAGAACAUCCAGUGCUCUUAACCACAGAGCCUUCUCUCUAGCCCUACUGUUUACAUUUUUAAAUUCUAUGGGACGUUUAAAUUUGGGGAUGUUUUAGACUGUGAUGUCAAUAUUAAUGUGUGAUCUUGGGAGUGAACAGAAAGGAAAGGUUAUGGCUUAAUACUGAAGCGAUGUGUUUGUGUGUCAAGCUGACAAGGGGUCAGUUAUUCUUGGUAGCCUGAUGUCACAUUGAUACACAGGCUAGAGUCAUCUGAGAGAUGGGAACCUCAAUUGAGAGAAAUGAGAUCAGGUUGUAGGGCAUUUCCUUCACUAGCGGUUGAAGGUGUAGCCAUCCCUGGGCUGAUGGUCCUGGGUUCUGUAAGAAAGCAGACUGAGCAAGCCAGUGAGCAGCGCUCUCCAUGGCCUCUGCAUCAGCUCCUGCCUCCAGGUUCCUGCCCUGCUGGAGUCCCUGUCGUGACUUCCCUCAGUGACGGACUGUUACCUGGAAGUAUAAGUAACAUAAACCUUUUCCUUCCCGACUUGAUGUCGGGCAUGGUGUUUUGUCACAUCAAUAAAAAUCCCAGGACAACAACUAACCCACAAUAAAAAGGAGGAUAAUGAAGAGGCCUUAUACACAACUUACAAAGCCUUUCUUAGGCCAUUUUUAUAGACUGGUGUGAGGCAUGGGGUAUAAAUAGAAAAGUUGGUUUUAACAAGUAAAGCUGGUUUCCUAUUGCAGUUAACUAAGGCGGAGGUCACAGACUUCGCUGUUGUUUUAAAAUCUCCUAGGAACUUCUUAUAACAACAAACUUGUAGAUUGCUCCUCUGUCUGUGCUAGGGCCUGGAAAUCUUGUUUCACAUAGAUAAUGUAAUCUAAGCUUUAAUAACAGUCAUCAUUUCAAAAG